UCGGAGCGGAGCGGCUGCCCUGCCGACCGCCGGAGCUGAGGGCCGCCUGGGUGAGGAGCUGCGCGCCAGCUCGGGCCGCUCGGUCAAACGUGCGCACGGGCUAGGAGUCGUGGGACUCGUCGGAACCUGCUCGACUCAGAAUGACUGAGAAGAGACUCUUGCUUCUGAUUGAGGUAGAAGAGAUGUAAUACAUAAUAUACCCACUGUGGACUAGGCUAAUGAGAAGGAGCACUGCAGCAGCUGAAAGGAUACUAUAUACUUACCAUUUGAGAUGACUGACUUUCGGGAUAGAGGUCAGCUCUGAUGUCCUAUCUAGUUUUUCAAAGUACUCUUGCUUAUUUUUAUUAUUAUUUUUUUUAAACACACAGGCUUAAAGCUAAGCUAGUUAAGGCCAUACAAUAAAUUAUUCCUUUGUCUUUAA